GAUGAACGCUAGCGGCAGGCUUAACACAUGCAAGUCGAGGGGUAACAGGGAUUGCUUGCAAUCCGCUGACGACCGGCGCACGGGUGCGUAACGCGUAUAGAAUCUACCUUUUACAGAGGGAUAGCCUUUAGAAAUGAAGAUUAAUACCUCAUAGUAUUUAGAAGUGGCAUCACUUUUAAAUUAAAGUUUCGAUGGUAAAAGAUGACUAUGCGUUCUAUUAGCUAGUAGGUAAGGUAACGGCUUACCUAGGCGACGAUAGAUAGGGGUCCUGAGAGGGAGAUCCCCCACACUGGUACUGAGACACGGACCAGACUCCUACGGGAGGCAGCAGUGAGGAAUAUUGGGCAAUGGACGAAAGUCUGACCCAGCCAUGCCGCGUGCAGGAAGACUGCCCUAUGGGUUGUAAACUGCUUUUAUAUAGGAAGAAAUAUCUCUACGUGUAGAGAGCUGACGGUACUAUAUGAAUAAGCACCGGCUAACUCCG
rnacentral:rRNA from 1 species